GACGAACGCUGGCGGCGUGCUUAACACAUGCAAGUCGAACGGCACGGCCGUGCUUUUGUGGGCUGCUCAGUUGCCGAACGGGUGAGUCACACGUGUUUAACCUACCCUUGACUUUCGGGUAACUUCAGGAAACGUGGCCUAAUACCGGAUAGGAGCUCCUGCUGCAUUGUGGGGGUUGGAAAUUUUCGGCGGUUGGGGAUGGACGCGUGGCUUAUCGGCUUGUUGGUGGGGUAGUGGCUGACCAAGCCUUUGACGGGUAGCCGGCCUGGGAGGGGGGACGGCCACAUUGGGCCUGAGCUACGGCCCAGCCUCAUACGGGAGGCAGAGGUGGAGAGUAUUGUACAAUGGGCUGGAGCCUGACGUAGCAACGCCGCGUGCGGGAAGACGGGAUGCGGGUUGUGAACCGCUGCCGCUUGUCACGAAGAGUGAGUGACGGUAACGGGUAAAGAAGCACCGGCUAACUACGUG
rnacentral:rRNA from 1 species